AUACGUAGGGAGCGAGCGUUGUCCGGAAUUACUGGGCGUAAAGGGCGCGUAGGCGGCGCUUCAAGUCGUCUGUCAAAUGGGAGGGCUUAACCCUUUUUCGCAGACGAAACUGGAGAGCUUGAGAAGCAGAGAGGCAAACAGAACUCCUGGUGUAGCGGUGAAAUGCGUAGAUAUCAGGAAGAAUACCAGUGGCGAAGGCGGUUUGCUGGCUGCAUACUGACGCUGAAGCGCGAAAGCCAGGGGAGCAAACGGGAUUAGAUACCCCGGUAGUCCUGGCAGUAAACGAUGUAUGCUGGGUGUGAGACUAGCGAUAGUUUCGUGCCGAAGUUAACGCGAUAAGCAUACCGCCUGGGGAGUACGGUCGCAAGAUUGAAACUCAAAGGAAUUGACGGGG
rnacentral:rRNA from 1 species